rnacentral:rRNA from 1 species
CCUACGGGUGGCAGCAGUCGAGAAUCAUUCACAAUGGGGGAAACCCUGAUGGUGCGACGCCGCGUGGGGGAAUGAAGGUCUUCGGAUUGUAAACCCCUGUCAUGUGGGAGCAAAUUAAAAAGAUAGUACCACAAGAGGAAGAGACGGCUAACUCUGUGCCAGCAGCCGCGGUAAUACAGAGGUCUUAAGAGUUGUUCGGAAUCACUGGGCGGAAAGCGUUCGUAGGCUGGUUCGUAAGGCGUGUGUGAAAGGCGCGGGCUCAACCCGCGGACUGCCCAUGAUACUGCGAGACUAGAGUAAUGGAGGGGGAACCGGAAUUCUCGGUGUAGCAGUGAAAUGCGUAGAUAUCGAGAGGAACACUCGUGGCGAAGGCGGGUUCCUGGACAUUAACUGACGCUGAGGCACGAAGGCCAGGGGAGCGAAAGGGAUUAGAUACCCGGGUAGUC